GGGGCGUCACCCGACUAAAAGAGAGAUUAUAUAAAUACAAAUGUCUGAAUUAGGAAAUCAGAUUAGUGUUUUAAAGAAUCAACAACUUGGUCUUUCGAUCGGAGUACUUUUGUCUUUACUUGCCUUGUACAUAGCUUUGGCAGUAAUAGUGUACAAACCAAGACGACUACCAACUCAAACAGUACCACAAACGACGCUCAAUAUUCAGGAAGAUCGUUAGAGAAAAGAGUACCACAGACGACACUCCAUAUCCAGGAAGAUCGUUAAAGAAACGAGUACUACAUAUGACGCUCAAUAUCCAGGAAGAUCGUUAGAGAAAAGAGUACCACAAACGACGCUCAAUAUCCAGAAAGAUCGUUAGAGAAAAUCGUUUUGAUAAGCUACUUCGAUGUUUAAGUCAGCAAGGAAUCGGGGAUAAAAGUAAGAAUGAAAGGAGUCAAGGACGUAUUUACGGAUAGAUAAGACGCUAUUGUUGCUUAAUGACAUUUUGUGAAACGAUAAAGUUUAUAAAUACAGUUCUGUGCAAUAAACUGUGUACGACGUAAAAACAAGAAACCUUUAUUUAUACAAUGUGCUUAUUUUAAUAAUAAAAUAUGUGUUCAUUC